UUGAUUUAAAUGCAAUCUAUGAACAAUAUCUACUUGCACACGCAUACACACCCCAGGCAGACACCGAACAGACGCAGCCUUGCAGACUUACACAGCAGCUGUGACAACAACUGAUGUCACCUCCUUUGCAGAAAUUUCCACAAGCGUCUUCCAAAGGCCAAGUUAAAUGAGAUAGAGGUUAUCAAUUUCUUUAAAGUGCUCUGGAUGAGACCAGUCCAUGUGACCCCCUUCCUGGCCGCGGGGGUGUGGUAUGUCACAGCUCCCCUAUCAGCUGGCACAUGGCAGUGGGAGAUAUGAGACAGCAGAAAAGCAGUAGUAACAACACCACCAGCCUGCCGAAGACAGAGCGAAUGCGCUGAGUAACUUCAGAGUGUGCUCACUUACUUUCUGCAAACAGGUGGAGGCUGCUCGGCCCUGGCUUCUGCUUGCACAUCCCACUCAGCACAGAUGGGUGCUAAUGUUGCCAGCUAUGCUCUGGAAAGGCUACGGUUCGUUAGCGUCGUAUUAACGCCUCUAGCAGUGCUGGCCAGAGUUUUAAGAGAUAGUUCCAGCAAUGAGCAUAUCAGACGGAGCAGCAAAGACACAGCUGCUCAAAACAGCAACGUGCAGUGGAUAUACAUGCAAUGAAAAAAGACCUCCUUCAAGGAAGAUAUUGAAGACAGCUGCAGAUCAGUCCUCCUCAGGGUUCAUUAGCUUUUUUCAUCUUCUGUAAACCAGCCCUGGGCAUGACUUUAGAAGAUGAUUAAACCAAAAAUUUGUGUGUCAUUACACCCUCUCCAACUCCAGCUGCAACAUUUUAUCUGUGGAAGCCCCAGGAUCCAAGAUCCAGGAUAGAAGCCUUCUGUCUCUCUACUUCCUUGGCAUGCUGGUUACAAUCUCUGCUCCCACCACCACCUAUGUUUGAACUGUGAUUGGUUAAAGACCCUUAAUCCUUGCUGGAAUUGUAUAAACAGAAACAUGGAUUGCCAGCCACCUAAAAUCUCCAGUGAGCCCUGGACUGUGACAAACAAAAAGCCUUUCAGUAUUCUCCCGAGCAAGUCUUUCACAAAGACUUCCGGAGCAAGCAAUUCCCAGAGCACCCUUGGCUGCCUGUUUUCAAGUACUAAGGGUGAGAAAGCUAAGCCUAUCUAUACUUGGAGGAAAAUAAGAAGACAAGGCUAAUUAAAAAUUCACCUUUGUCCUCUGUUCCUAAAAGCACUGCUCAGCCCCAUGACACCACACACUUCAGGGUGAGCUGUGUUUUUAAUGGAGAGUUUAAAGCAGAGUUUGCUUCUGGU
rnacentral:lncRNA from 1 species